AGAGUUUGAUCCUGGCUCAGGAUGAACGCUAGCGGCAGGCUUAAUACAUGCAAGACGAACGGUAACUGGUGUAGCAAUACACUAGCUAGAGUGUCGUACGGGUGCGUAACACGUAUGCAACCUACCUUGUACAGGGGUAUAGCUCGGGGAAACUCGAAUUAACACCCCAUAAGAUAAUAGUGAGGCAUCUCACAGUUAUUAAAACUGAGGUGGUACAAGAUGGGCAUGCGAUUGAUUAGUUAGUUGGCAGUGUAAUGGACUACCAAGACGAUGAUCAAUAGGGGACCUGAGAGGGUGAUCCCCCACACUGGCACUGAGAUACGGGCCAGACUCCUACGGGAGGCAGCAGUAGGGAAUAUUGGACAAUGGGUGAGAGCCUGAUCCAGCCAUGCCGCGUGCAGGAAGAAGGCGUUAUGCGUUGUAAACUGCUUUUGCCAGGGGGUAAAAUACCCAUGCGUGGGAAAUUGAGAGUACCUGGUGAAUAAGCCACGGCUAACUACGUGCCAGCAGCCGCGGUAAUACGUAGGUGGCAAGCGUUGUCCGGAUUUAUUGGGUUUAAAGGGUGCGUAGGCGGCCUUGUAAGUCAGUGCUGAAAUACCCCGGCUUAACCGGGGGGGUGGCAUUGAUACUGCAGGGCUUGAGUACAGAUGAGGUAGGCGGAAUUGACGGUGUAGCGGUGAAAUGCAUAGAUAUCGUCAAGAACACCUAUAGCGAAGGCAGCUUACUAAGCUGUAACUGACGCUGAGGCACGAAAGUGUGGGGAUCAAACAGGAUUAGAUACCCUGGUAGUCCACACUGUAAACGUUGAUGACUCGCUGUUGGCGAUACACAGCCAGCGGCUAAGCGCAAGCGAUAAGUCAUCCACCUGGGGAGUACGCCGGCAAC
rnacentral:rRNA from 1 species